rnacentral:rRNA from 1 species
AUUUGACGUUAGCGACAGAAGAAGCACCGGCUAACUCCGUGCCAGCAGCCGCGGUAAUACGGAGGGUGCGAGCGUUAAUCGGAAUUACUGGGCGUAAAGCGCAUGCAGGUGGUUUGUUAAGUCAGAUGUGAAAGCCCGGGGCUCAACCUCGGAAUUGCAUUUGAAACUGGCAGACUAGAGUACUGUAGAGGGGGGUAGAAUUUCAGGUGUAGCGGUGAAAUGCGUAGAGAUCUGAAGGAAUACCGGUGGCGAAGGCGGCCCCCUGGACAGAUACUGACACUCAGAUGCGAAAGCGUGGGGAGCAAACAGGAUUAGAUACCCUGGUAGUCCACGCCGUAAACGAUGUCUACUUGGAGGUUGUGGCCUUGAGCCGUGGCUUUCGGAGCUAACGCGUUAAGUAGACCGCCUGGGGAGUACGGUCGCAAGAUUAAAACUCAAAUGAAUUGACGGGGGCCCGCACAAGCGGUGGAGCAUGUGGUUUAAUUCGAUGCAACGCGAAGAACCUUACCUACUCUUGACAUCCAGAGAACUUUCCAGAGAUGGAUUGGUGCCUUCGGGAACUCUGAGACAGGUGCUGCAUGGCUGUCGUCAGCUCGUGUUGUGAAAUGUUGGGUUAAGUCCCGCAACGAGCGCAACCCUUAUCCUUGUUUGCCAGCGAGUAAUGUCGGGAACUCCAGGGAGACUGCCGGUGAUAAACCGGAGGAAGGUGGGGACGACGUCAAGUCAUCAUGGCCCUUACGAGUAGGGCUACACACGUGCUACAAUGGCGCAUACAGAGGGCGGCCAACUUGCGAAAGUGAGCGAAUCCCAAAAAGUGCGUCGUAGUCCGGAUUGGAGUCUGCAACUCGACUCCAUGAAGUCGGAAUCGCUAGUAAUCGUGGAUCAGAAUGCCACGGUGAAUACGUUCCCGGGCCUUGUACACACCGCCCGUCACACCAUGGGAGUGGGCUGCAAAAGAAGUAGGUAGUUUAACCUUCGGGGGGACGCUUACCACUUUGUGGUUCAUGACUGGGGUGAAGUCGUAACAAGGUAGCGCUAGGGGAACCUGGCGCUGGAUCACCUCCUUAAACGAUGAU